UCUCCACCCGCACUGGACGGUUCUGUGCCACGGCUCUGCAAACGCUUUGCAACAGGGUCACAGCCAGAAGAGUCCAGAAAUGUGGAGUGAACACUUAGAAACAUUUACAACAACUUGACCAUAUCUGUUGAAUCUGAUUACGAAAAACCAAAGCUUGUAUUGUGUAUGUCUUUGUACUUCUUUUCAUGUUGUUCCUCCAGAAAUUCAUUUGUGUUGCAUUUUACAAAAAAGUAUCCAAGUGGUCUUUGACCACAGUGUGGGCCAAAUGACCAGUUUGUAAGUUAGCACAGUGACGCCUGCAGCUCUCAGCCGUGGGUUCUGGUCUCCUGGAAGGAGAAUUCUCUGUCCUGACCACAAAGGCGAGCUUCCAGAAACCCAGGACUUCCUUGAGCUUGCAAGAACCUGCUGAUGAAUAGUGGCCAAGUCCUGAGAUGUCAUCCUUCCCUGUCAUGUGCCCCAGGAGAGGCUGUGGGGAGAGGAGAGGACCUUUGGUCCUCACCCACCUCUUAUAAGGGGAAACAACCAACAUCUAAAACCAUGAACCUGAAAUUUAUCACUCAACAAAGGGGACCCAGCUUCUCCCAUAGGCUGACAGGCUGACUCUGAGUUCUGUUUCAGAGAAAAUAAGAAGGUAGAGGAACAGACCAUCUUGUGCCCAGAAACUUUAACAACCAGCCUGGGGGCGGUGAGGAAGCACUGACGUGCAGGAUUUGGCCAUCACCAUGGUGACAGCGCUCCCACAGUGGCCAUCCCUGGGAAAGGGGUGAAGCAGCUCAGCACCACAAGCAUUUCUACCACACGGAUACGACACCCCUCAACAGCCUCAAGGGCACAGGUCAUCGUAAAAUGUAGGAAAAGAAUUCCGGAUGAGACAUACUUACUUGCUCCUUCUCUUCAACGUGCCCCCGACUCCAGAAGUGAACUGUUCCCCUAAAAGACAGCUGACUGGUUGUUGUUGUUGGCUGGAACUUCAGCAAGAAAACUCAAGUUGAACACAAGAUCUCCCCGUGUCCGGGUAACCUUCCAGCAUCCUGGCCGGUCAGCCUGGAACAAGCAGGCCUCUGCAGUGUGCUGCCCUAGAAGAGAUAGCAGAUUUCCAAGGAAUAUGGCCAGCACAACACCAUGACAACUUCUCAGCAAGCCGCAGCCUGCCCUCUCAACAAGGUGUGGAUUUCAGCCCGACUGGUGGGGUAAGUGGAGAAAAGGGGGUUCCGUCUCAGCCCUAAGUACAGUGGCUGCUCCCUGUUUUUGCUCUUUCUACAUUCUUUCGUUCUCUUUUUAAUAGCCAGUGCCUCAUUAUUCCAAUCUCCUGUUACAGUUAUUAGUUCUUUACAUUCAACUUUCCCUCUUAAAUUACGGUGUGGUUUCUUUCUCUUGACUGGACCCAAGCAAAAAUAGAUACCAGCAAGUGUCCCUUU